rnacentral:rRNA from 1 species
UACGGGGGGAGCAAGCGUUGUUCGGAUUUACUGGGCGUAAAGGGCGCGUAGGCGGCCACCGCAAGUCAGUUGUGAAAUCUCUGGGCUUAACCCAGAACGGUCAGCUGAUACUGCGGGGCUAGAGUGCAGAAGGGGCAACUGGAAUUCUCGGUGUAGCGGUGAAAUGCGUAGAUAUCGAGAGGAACACCUGCGGCGAAGGCGGGUUGCUGGGCUGACACUGACGCUGAACUGCGAAAGCUAGGGGAGCGAACGGG